rnacentral:misc_RNA from 1 species
UCCGGUUUGUCACCGGCAGUCUCAUUAGAGUGCCCUUUCGUAGCAACUAAUGACAAGGGUUGCGCUCGUUGCGGGACUUAACCCAACAUCUCACGACACGAGCUGACGACAGCCAUGCAGCACCUGUGUUCAAGUUCUCUUUCGAGCACCAAGCCAUCUCUGGCAAGUUCUUGACAUGUCAAGGCCAGGUAAGGUUCUUCGCGUUGCAUCGAAUUAAGCCACAUACUCCACCGCUUGUGCAGGCCCCCGUCAAUUUCUUUGAGUUUUAAUCUUGCGACCGUACUUCCCAGGCGGCACGUUUAUCGCGUUAGCUUCGCCACAAAAGGGGUCGAUUCCUUUUACAGCAAACGUGCGCCGUUUACAGCUAGGACUAC